AGAGGACAGAGAGGUAGAGGACAGAGAGAUAGAGGACAGAGAGGUAGAGGACAGAGAGGUAGAGGACAGAGAGGUAGAGGACAGAGAGGUAGAGGACAGAGAGAUAGAGGACAGAGAGAUAGAGGACAGAGAGAUAGAGGACAGAGAGGUAGAGGACAGAGAGAUAGAGGACAGAGAGA